UAUUCUCACUGUAGGUUGGCGUC
rnacentral:miRNA from 1 species